CCUACGGGGAGCAGCAGUGAGGAAUAUUGGUCAAUGGGCGCGAGCCUGAACCAGCCAAGCAGCGUGAAGGAUGACUGCCCUACGGGUUGUAAACUUCUUUUAUAAAGGAAUAAAGUGAGGCACGAGUGCCUUUUUGUAUGUACUUUAUGAAUAAGCAUCGGCUAACUCCGUGCCAGCAGCCGCGGUAAUACGGAGGAUCCGAGCGUUAUCCGGAUUUAUUGGGUUUAAAGGGAGCGUAGAUGGGUUGUUAAGUCAGGUGUGAAAGUUUGCGGCUCAACCGUAAAAUUGCAAUUGAUACUGGCAGCCUUGAGUACAGUUGAGGUAGGCGGAAUGCGUGGUGUAGCGGUGAAAUGCUUAGAUAUGACGAAGAACUCCGAUUGCGAAGGCAGCCUACUAAACGGCCACUGACAUUGAUGCUCGAAAGUGUGGGUAUCAAACAGGAUUAGAUACCCUUGUAGUC
rnacentral:rRNA from 1 species